GGGGAACCUGCGGCUGGAUCACCUCCUUUCUAGAGCGAAAGGUUACUGAAAGCGCCUACAACCUAUCGGUUGUUUACCCAGACAGACAGCGGGUCUGUAGCUCAGCUGGUUAGAGCAUCGUCUUGAUAAGGCGGGGGUCGUUGGUUCGAACCCAACCAGACCCACCACGAGAUCGCUGCGCGCAGGUGAGCGACGAUGAUCGAGGCUUGAGGGGGCAUAGCUCAGUUGGGAGAGCGCCUGCUUUGCAAGCAGGAGGUCGUCGGUUCGAUCCCGUCUGCCUCCACCAAAGAAGAAGCGAUAUCAAAGCGGGAGCGCUUUGAUAUCGGUUUUUUUACCGACAAGGCUGUUUGGAUCUUUAACAAUUUGGAAGAAGUAAAGUGUUCGAUCCAGGGAACUGGGUCGUACAUGGGUUGUGAUUGCAUUCUUCGGCGUCGUGUGCGAACCAGCCGCGACGUUGAAAACAAGCGCGAGUUGCACCUGUAGCGUGGGAUCCGGGAACGGAGCUCAAGGUUAUAGGGUCAAGCGACUAAGUGCAUGU
rnacentral:tRNA from 1 species